GAUGAACGCUGGCGGCGUGCCUAAUACAUGCAAGUCGAGCGAACGGACGAGAAGCUUGCUUCUCUGAUGUUAGCGGCGGACGGGUGAGUAACACGUGGAUAACCUACCUAUAAGACUGGGAUAACUUCGGGAAACCGGAGCUAAUACCGGAUAAUAUUUUGAACCGCAUGGUUCAAAAGUGAAAGACGGUCUUGCUGUCACUUAUAGAUUGAUCCGCGCUGCAUUAGCUAGUUGGUAAGGUAACGGCUUACCAAGGCAACGAUGCAUAGCCGACCUGAGAGGGUGAUCGGCCACACUGGAACUGAGACACGGUCCAGACUCCUACGGGAGGCAGCAGUAGGGAAUCUUCCGCAAUGGGCGAAAGCCUGACGGAGCAACGCCGCGUGAGUGAUGAAGGUCUUCGGAUCGUAAAACUCUGUUAUUAGGGAAGAACAUAUGUGUAAGUAACUGUGCACAUCUUGACGGUACCUAAUCAGAAGGCCACGGCUAACUACGUG
rnacentral:rRNA from 1 species